rnacentral:rRNA from 1 species
AAUUGCCACGUUGUAAGCCGAUGAAAAUGCGUAGAGAUGUGGAAGUAACCACCAGUGGCGAAGGCGGACUCUCUUGGUCUGUAAACUGACGCUGAAGGCGAGAAAAGCGUGGGGAGCGAACAGGAUUAGAUACCCUGGUAGUCCACGCCGUAAACGAUGAGUGCUAAGUGUUAGAGGGGUUUCCGCCCUUUAGUGCUGCAGCAAAACGCAUUAAGCACUCCGCCUGGGGAGUACGGUCGCAAGACUGAAACUCAAAGGAAAUUGACGGGGGCCCGCACAAGCGGUGGAGCAUGUGGUUUAAUUAGAAGCAACGCGAAGAACCUUACCAGGUCUUGACAUCCUCUGACAACCCUAGAGAUAGGGCUUCCCCUUCGGGGGCAGAGUGACAGGUGGUGCAUGGUUGUCGUCAGCUCGUGUCGUGAGAUGUUGGGUUAAGUCCCGCAACGAGCGCAACCCUUGAUGUUAGUUGCCAGCAUUCAGUUGGGCACUCUAAGGUGACUGCCGGUGACAAACCGGAGGAAGGUGGGGAUGACGUCAAAUCAUCAUGCCCCUUAUGACCUGGGCUACACACGUGCUACAAUGGGCAGAACAAAGGGCAGCGAAGCCGCGAGGCUAAGCCAAUCCCACAAAUCUGUUCUCAGUUCGGAUCGCAGUCUGCAACUCGACUGCGUGAAGCUGGAAUCGCUAGUAAUCGCGGAUCAGCAUGCCGCGGUGAAUACGUUCCCGGGCCUUGUACACACCGCCCGUCACACCACGAGAGUUUGUAACACCCGAAGUCGGUGAGGUAACCUUUGAGCCAGCCGCCGAAGUAACGUU